rnacentral:rRNA from 1 species
AUGGCGUCGAGGAUGGCGUCCAAGGACAUCAUCACGCUCAAGGGCUCCGCCGCCAUCGUCAGCGAGUUCUUCGGUUACGCGGCCAACAGCAUCCUGUACAACCGCGGGGUGUACCCGGAGGAGAGCUUCGGCAAGGUGAAGAAGUACGGCCUCCCCAUGCUGCUCACGCAGGACGAGGCCGUCAAGACCUUCCUCACCAACCUCACCUCCCAGCUCUCAGAGUGGCUGGAGGGUGGGAAGCUGCAGAGGAUUGUGCUGGUCAUCAUGAGCAAGGCCACCGGCGAGGUGCUCGAGCGCUGGAACUUCAACAUCAUCACUGACGGCGAGGUCGUCGAGAAAGGGGCGGUGAAGGAGAAGAGCGACAAGGAGAUCAUGAGGGAGAUCCAGGCCAUCAUGCGGCAGGUCAACUCCUGCAUCUCCUUCCUCCCCUGCCUCGACGAGCCAUGCAUAUUCGACGUGCUGGCCUACACCGACUCGGACACCACCGUGCCCUUCACCUGGAUGGAGAGCGACGCCAAGCUCAUCGACAACCCGCAGAUGGUGAAGCUGCACUCGUUCGACACCAAGAUCCACAAGGUGGACACGCUGGUGUCGUACAAGGUGGACGACUUGGACGAGCAGUGA